rnacentral:tRNA from 1 species
GCCGGGAUGGUCUAAUCGGUUAAGGCGUCUCCCCCAGAUAUAGGUGGAGAUUAAUUGGGGGUUCGAUCCCCCCCCCUGGCC